AUCUAAGAUGUAAAAUAUAUAAAAUAUAUAUAUAUAUAUAUAUACGAAUGUAAUAGGAGAACUUCUAACGCGAUGUACGAAGUGGCAGAGAAAUAUGGCGGUCGUUUGACCACGUGACCCUUUUUAUAUCUUUAAGGUGCAGCGCACAGGGACAGGGGAAAAAAGAGAACGAGAACCUUGAACCAAUCGUAAAUGGCGUGGAGUGAAAGCGGUCGGUCUCCGCGGUUUUCCCAGAAGAGCGCGAGCCACGAAAUUAUCGACCUGUAAAUCGGAACGAAGGAUCUCUCGUUUCUUAUCUUCUUUCAGGGUAUAUAUAUAUAUAUAUAUAUAUAAACUCACCUCGGCCUCUGUGUAUUACGGAAGAAAAGAAAAAAAGGAGAAAAAGGAUAAAAAUGCACGAUGGACCGAAAUGUAAAAAAAUCGAGAACGGUACCAACUUCGAAUCGGCGAAUUCAGACGUUACGAAUGUUAUCCUGGGAACACGUUUAUCCUCGCAUCAAUCCUCGAAACGAGGCUCACAUGCUUCGUGCGAUUGAUUCGCAUCAUCCAUUUGACGGAUUGCGCAUAUUCUAACGAUGUUUAGAUAUUUCAGAAAAUGAUUGGUGGUGGCCUGCCCUUUCGAAGAUCCGUAUCGGAAACGUUACUGCACAAACGUUAUUGCACAACGCUACGUACGAAUGAUUGAUGAGAGAGUGCACUAUUUUCUGAUGCGGUUUCAAUAAAAACGAAAAAAAAAAAAAAAAAAGGAAAGAAAAAAAAAG